rnacentral:rRNA from 1 species
AGCGAACGCUGGCGGCAGGCCUAACACAUGCAAGUCGAACGAACCUUUCGGGGUUAGUGGCGGACGGGUGAGUAACACGUGGGAACGUGCCUUUAGGUUCGGAAUAACUCAGGGAAACUUGUGCUAAUACCGAAUGUGCCCUUCGGGGGAAAGAUUAAUCGCCUUUAGAGCGGCCCGCGUCUGAUUAGCUAGUUGGUUGAGGUAAUGGCUCACCAAGGCGACGAUCAGUAGCUGGUCUGAGAGGAUGAUCAGCCACAUUGGGACUGAGACACGGCCCAAACUCCUACGGGAGGCAGCAGCGGGGAAUCUUGCGCAAUGGGCGAAAGCCUGACGCAGCCAUGCCGCGUGAAUGAUGAAGGUCUUAGGAUUGUAAAAUUCUUUCACCGGGGACGAUAAUGACGGUACCCGGAGAAGAAGCCCCGGCUAACUUCGUG